rnacentral:lncRNA from 1 species
UUAGGUUAUUUGUAACCCUAAAAUUUAUGUAACACACAAACACAGUGCCGCCGUAUUCUUCUUCUACAACUGUUUCUUCCCUUCUUUGUCACAGUGCUAUCUUUCCCCUUUUUCGUCGAAGGUAUGAUCUUACCAGAGAGCAAUAAAAUCACCGCGCAAGACGACAACAGCCUACAACGGCGACAAAGGGAGGCUGGGUUUUCGGUUUUCUCCUUGAAAUAUGCAUUGUGCUCCAGAAGUGCCGCAAAACACAAACUGAGCCACGAUAUACAACGAUGAACGCGGCCGUGACGACCACUACUUACUUCUGGGACGCGACGCCGCAUGUAUGGACGGCCACCCAAAGCAACGCUCUGCUACACUAUUUCCCACUAUUGACAACACAGAUCCUAAUUAUGAUUAUUAUGUACUUAAUAAUGUCUACUGCAAUUGCACAGAUAAAUAGAGUUGACUGUUGAUCAUGUAUAAUAGCAACAGUCACAUUGAAUACUUCAUGAUCUCUAUGACAACUCAAGUAAAAUGAUCUAUUUGUCAACAUAAAGAGGUAUAAGUUUGUCAUACAAGGCAUCCUAAUUACCAUAAUCAUGCACUUAAUGAAUUCUACGGCAAUUGCACAGGUAAAUGGAUCCAACAGAAAAUCCUUCAUCCUUCAUCCAAUAAAAUUUAAAAAUGAAAACAGGACAACAAAAGUUAGAUUUAUACUAACCUCAACCAAUUUCUGCUCAGUGCUAGAAUGCAAGUAAUUAGACACUCUAUCUCUCUCCCGUCUCAAGCAAUCCUCAGCCUGUGCAAUUACAUGGAUAAAAAUUGUUAAACGAUGCUGGUAAGUAACCUCUGCAUUGUACGACAUUCAUAUUUUGAAUAUUUAAACAUUUAAAUUGAAAAAAUAUGAGAUGAAGUAUUUAAAAUUAUGAAAGUGGUACACAUAAAUUUAGUGUCUGUUUGGUAACGUCAAUAAGCUAACUUAUAGCUUAUAGAAUUAGCUUAUAAGCUUGUUUGAUCAAAUUAAAUGUGUUUGGUUAACAAGUUUUUCACACUAACUUAUAGCUUUUUUUUAGACUCUAUUUUAACUAGAGUUUGAACUUAUAGUUUAUAGCUUUUUAUAUUUUC